rnacentral:rRNA from 1 species
AUUGAACGCUGGCGGCAGGCCUAACACAUGCAAGUCGAACGAGUGGCGGACGGGUGAGUAAUGUCUGGGAAACUGCCUGAUGGAGGGGGAUAACUACUGGAAACGGUAGCUAAUACCGCAUCCCAUCGGAUGUGCCCAGAUGGGCUUAGCUAGUAGGUGGGGUAAAGGCUCACCUAGGCGACGAUCCCUAGCUGGUCUGAGAGGAUGACCAGCAACACGGGAACGGAGACGAGGUCCAGACUCCUACGGGAGGCAGCAGUGGGGAAGAUUGCACAAUGGGCGCAAGCCUGAUGUAGCCAUGCCGCGUGUAUGAAGAAGGCCUUCGGGUUGUAGAGUACUUUCAGCGGGGAGGCGUUACCCGAAGAAGAAGCACCGGCUAACUCCGUGCCAGCAGCCGCGGUAAUUC